AUUUUACUUACUCCGUGAAUCGG
rnacentral:snRNA from 1 species